CAAAAAGUGAACCUCUGUAUUUAAUCUUUCAAGAUUCUUUUCUUUCAGGAAUUGUACUGGAGGAUGGGAGGAAGGCAGAUUCCUAUAUUCAAAAUAUUUUCCUGGAAAUUAUAGACCUGUGAGUUAUAACUUCUGUGGCUGGGAAAUAUUUGAAAGGUUAUAAAGGGAUACUAUUCAUGAAUACCUUGAGAAGAACAUUGUUAACAGCAAAGAUCUAAUGGUUUUAUGAAACAUAGGUCAUGUCAAACUAACUUAAUUGCAUUCUACGAAGAAGUAAGUGGAAGUAUAGAUGAGGGUGUUGCAGUGGAUGUGAUCUAAUUGGAUUCUGCCAAGGCAUUUGAUACGGUUCCUCACAAUAGGUUAG